rnacentral:rRNA from 1 species
GGGCAUUUUAUGCUCUGUAAUUGGAAUGAUGGGAAUGUAAAACCCUCUCAGAGUAACAAUUGGAGGGCAAGUCUGGUGCCAGCAGCCGCGGUAAUUCCAGCUCCAAUAGUGUAUAUUAGAGUUGUUGCAGUUAAAAAGCUCGUAGUUGGAUUUCUGUCGUGGUCAUCCGGUACCGCCCGUAUGGGUGUGCACCUGGUUUGACCUCGGCUUUCUUCCGGUAGCCUUCGGCGCUUCAUUGCGUGGUUGGUGUUCCGGAACUUUUACUUUGAGAAAAAUAGAGUGUUUCAAGCAGGCUUGUCGCCCUGAAUACUUCAGCAUGGAAUAAUAAGAUAGGACCUUGGUUCUAUUUUGUUGGUUUCUAGGACCAAGGUAAUGAUUAAUAAGGA